AAGCUUCGUAUCACUAUACGUUACAACACCACGUGAUAAUGUCAACCUUUACUGUUCCAAUCGGGAUCACAUGACGCCCGUCUCUAUUUACUUUCUUCGUUAUCGUAGCAAGCCCGCAAUAGGAAGAAUUAAAUUCAAGUAAGGUGGAGAUGCAUUGUGGGCGGCCUGAAAACCCAAUGGUCCGCAAAGCCUCGACCUUGCUUACCAAAUAAGGUCCCGUUCAAGGUCUUCGAGGCCUUGCGUAAGGCUCCAGCUGUGCCAUCGGCAUAACGAUUAACCGAUUAUGUCCACGCUUUAGUCAUCGGCCGUUUUCAGUGAAAGUGUUUGGCUGCAAUUCUCACUAGAAGAUCAGCUUAUUUUACUACACUGUAUUUCCUUUAUCACCGUGAGAUCCCUGAUUUCGUUCUGUGGAAAGUUCGAAUUGGGCGUGUCUGCCCUACACGGACACGUGCUGUAGGUAACGUCUGGCUCCAGUCGUGCAGUGCCACCGAAAUCAAUACGGAAUGCGACGAGGUUUGCCGCGUUCGCAAAUGUCCAUUUUAAUAAGAAGAUUACACGUUGUAGAAUUCCGUAGUGCGAUAAUUUAAUAUUGUGAGAUUAGUACAAGUUAUCUAAAUCUUGAUAAUUCUCGAGGGGUGAUACAGGCGGAAGAUUUUUCAAGUAGUAGGUACUUUAAUUCCCUUUGAAUUGCAUGUAACACGUACUUCACCGAUGCUUCUUUACUUUCCCUUGGUAAGAACAAAAGAAAUCCCUCUUACGUACUUCUGUUCUCCUCAAGGUACAACCAAGUGGCUGUUCACGCGUAAUACCUGAAUUGUCCUUAAGUAGAAGGUAAAAGAUUCCAUUGAACUGAAUUAAGGAAUCAUGAUACAUCUUGUAUCAUGAUUCCUUAAUUCAUUUCGAGGGAAAAUGUACGAUCAAAUUUUAAGUUUAUUUCCAUCCUUAAGAGUCGAAAUUUUACUUAUAUACAACAAUAAUAAAUUGAUAAGAUAUGAUGGAUUUAUUGGAAUUGUAUCUAGAAACUAUUGUGCUGAAAAGAUAAAUUAUCGUUUAGAACAAUGUCUAUUCCACAUAGAAGAGGUAAUUAAAUCUAAUAGCUUGGGUGUUGUUUAAAAUUUUCAGAUAUAGUUAUGCUUGGCUAAUUUUUAUUCUCCAGGUUCACACAUCUGCUGUGAUGAUAAUUUGCAACUAUGCUUAAGUAAGAGAUAAUUGUGUACGUGAUUAAUUUCUAGUCGUAGUAACAGUCCUCAUUGGCGAUUGCCAGCCAUGCGAGGAAUCCGGGCAGAAACGCGCGAUAAUACGCGAUCACUAUAUUUAGUGUUGACUUUAGUGUCUCGUCAGAUCGAGAAACAGUGACGUCUGCGCAGCUGACGAUAAAGAGAACGAUAAUAGUUCGUGUAUAGAAAUCAUACAACUUGUUAUUCGCGUACUCGCGACUUGAAAUUCUGUUUAAAAGAUUCGUCGAUGAUUCAAACUACACACAUCGAUUUUACAUUCGAUAACGAUUCAUCUCGUACUCAGAAUACGUUGUUAUUCAUUCAUCGCGUAUAAUACUUUUACUGCACGAGACAUUCAUAAUCACAAGAAGGAAAUAAUUGAAAAUAAGAAAUUUCAUUUUUUAGUUAUAUACAUUUAGCUACGUAGUUAGGAAUGUAGUUACUCAAUUUAUCGUGAACUUUAAAGAUACCGUCAUUUAGAUUUUUAGCGACUUUUCUUCGAGUAAUUAAAAAAAAAAGAAAGAUAUAAUCGAUUGUAAUACUUUUUUAAAUGAAAUUUUGAUACGCCGUGUUACUGUAAGAGUGAUGGAAGUUAGUAAGUUAGAAUGGUUGAUAAUUCCUGUAGAAAUCAUACUUCAACUUUUUUUUGUCUGUAGAUAUUUUUAAUGAGUUUGGAUAAGAUAGAAAUCAUCAAUUCUGUAUCUCAUAAUUUAUCAGGUUUUUCCGCACAAAGUUCCCCCAUCGCAAAUUGAUAGUGAAAAAUCACAUUUCGAAAAAUAUCCCAGAUAUUCGCGCAAGAAUAUUUCAUUAGCAUUCGAAAAUUCAAGGUUAAAGUUUGCAGUUUUUAAAAAAUUCACGUUCGAAUAAAUUAAAAUUUCGUCUUAACGUGAAAGUUGAACGGCUUUGGAAUUGAGUUUCUAGAACCAUAGAGAAUUUUAAUCCGAAUAUUCUCAAUGCGAUGGCCAUGGAUUCGAAGGAAAGAUGAAUUCGUCAAUGCCAGUAGGAAGUACAUAUGUAUGUAUGUACUUGAGAGUUGCAAAGAAGACUAACGAGACGGGCACCGAGAUUGUUACACGAGUUCGUUUGUUUUUACAGUAGUACUUUCGACCGAUAGAUGUUCUUAUAUUUAAGAAUGCAUUGAACUAUCAAAAACGAUCGAUCAGACCCGCGUUCCUGUCGUUCGUCUUCUUUCCAGCUCCGCAUUACGCAUUAUUUUUGCCGCGUCGUGAAUCGUCGAAUCGAAGGUAAGAAUGACGACUCGACCAUUCCACUCUAGCUGGCACGCAAGAUCUGCGGUCUUCGGCUCUGACGAGUGACGUUUGAGAUUCUUGGGAUCUGACCUUGCACACGCGACUGACCCAGAACAGGCAGACAGGAUCGAUGGACUCUUCAGCUUCGUCGAAGGACGAGUCACCUCGAGGACCUUCUUACUUUCUAUGCAUUUCGAAUCGUACGAAGAGGCGCAUUCGAAUUUAACUCGCCCGUAUCUUACAAGGCUUGAGCGAUUUUCGACUUCAUCGCGAGCUUGGGGUCUAAUACACACUCCCCGCUCCCAUUCAUUCCAUGCGGCCUCGUAAUCGGCGGACGAUUGUCGUCGUGGCAAAAAAUCGGGUUGAAUGAAACUGGAACGGAGUGCACGUUCGUUAAGUCGACAGGCAAAAACUACCGGAUGAAUGGCUGGAUACUGUGCGCAAGGCAUCCUUCUCGAGUAGGACGGGGGCCGAGGGACUUCGCAGACGAAGAAAGAAAGGCAGUAGGCUCGUACCUGGUAACUUCAAGACCCUUCGCCUAUGGAAACUUGAAUUUGUACGAUUUCCGAGCAAUCAUCCAUAUCUUCAUCGUCUAGUUAACUUACAUACUGUUUAAGCAACGAACAAACGAAGAACCAGAAAUUCGACAGAGGAUUAAAAAUGAAGAAACGAAGCUAAAUUUAUAUAACUGCGAACGAUAAGAGAAAGGAAAGAAUGCCAGCAGGAUGAAAUCGUGGAAGAGGCAAUUUGUCACUUGAGGAAGCAGAAAUUCCAUACGAGCUUCGGCCGAUGAAUCAUCGUCUAGCUUUCAGUUGGAGGGGAAUUCGAAUUUUAACCUAUGUGUGCCCGCGUGCGUUUGCAAGAGAGUUCUAGGAGACUUCUUGGAUAGUGGCAAGCGCCUUCCAAGACGAUGACUGGUCGCAACCUGCGUUCCAACUUCCAUGUUUGCGUUUGAAUAUUGGUUCGUUUACAUUGUGGCAGUUGCUUUUGGAGUUGCCGCGCCACGUGUGGUUGAGAAUCUUCGUAGGAGACGUCUCUGGAAUUUAUUGUUCUCUUUUUUAACAACGUGCGAGAAAGAAAAGGAACAGGACUUUUAGCAAAAAAGAAACUCUCUGCAAAAAUUCGCGGUGGAAUUUUUCGCGACACACGGUCUUACGUAAAGGCGUUCAAUAGCUCUACAUUUCGUAUAAUAAUAUAAUUUUUUUUUCGUUGGCAAGAUAACGUUACAUUGCCUGACUAAUUGUCGAAAACAAUGAUACGACGCAUUGUAAAAACCUUCGUUGUGCGAUUU